GGCAACGGGGAACCCAAAGUUACGCAGAGACAGCCUGGGGGGAAGGAGACCUGGCAGACAGCACCGAGGGAGCUCCGGGGAAGUUUGCGCGGGGAGCGGGAGCUGCUCCCACCGGGCACCGCCGGUGCUCGCCUCCCGGGGGGGCCCGGGGGGGGGGGGGGGGCGGGCUGCCCUGCGGCCGGGGACCUGCCAGGGGAGGGGGGGGCUCGGCGGGACCCGGCCCUCGGGGAGGGGGGCGCCCCCCGCUUUUCCUCCCCCAAAUUUGAGGGAAACGGGACGCGCGGCCCGGGGGUGGGGGGGCGCGGAUCCCGGGGAAGGAGGGCGCGGGGCCGGGCCAGGGGGCUGCCGCCCGGGGCGGGGGAAGGCGAGGCGGGCCGGGGGGCGCCGCGCCUGCCCCGGGAGCGCGGCAAAGCGGCGGCAGGGUGGGCAGGAAGGCGGGCGGGCGGGCGCUCGGUCCCUCAGUCAGUCCCUCAGUCAGGCACUCACCCGUGCGGCGGGUGUGGCGGCGGGGAGAGGAGCGGCUGGGCGCGGCCCGCCCCCCACGGCCGCCGGUCGCUCAGGGCCGCUGCCUGGCCGGGACCGGCCCUUUCAUUCGGGGCAGGGGACGCUGCGCCGCCGCCGCCGCCGCCGAGCGCAAGCACGCACGCACGCACGCACGCACGAGCGGGAGGACGCACGCACGCACGCACGCACGGCGCGCUGGGGCUGAGACAGCGCGACGCUGCGGGGCGGCGCCCGAUUGGCGCGCGAGGCGGGAGCACGCCGGCUCCGCCGGGCCUCCUGCGCACGCGCGGCGCCGCGCGCCCGCUCUCCCUUCCCCCCCCCCCCCCGCUUCCUCCCGCGGCCCGCUCACUGCGCCGGGCCCGGGGCCGAACGAGCCGGCAGGGCGGCAGGGGGGCGGGGCGCUCCGCGCCUGCGCAGAGCUCACCCGCAGCCGUUGGGCGGCGGAGGGGCGCCGCGGGCGCGCGGCAAGAGGCUGGCGCGUGCGCAGAGCGGCGGGGCGGCAGCGCGCGCGGGGGAUGGCGCAUGCGCACGGCCGACUGGGGGGGGGUUGUUCUGAGGAGGCUGAGGCGGAGGGGCCGUGGGGCUGGCGGUCGGCGCCGGUUCGGGGCUGCGAGGGUGCUGCUGAGGGGUUAG
rnacentral:lncRNA from 1 species